AGCGGCUGUUUGAGGGAGGGAGAAUGCAGGCUUUGACUUGCCUCUUUAGGCAAGUUCUUGGUCUACCAUGCUAAAAGAAGUGGGCAAAACCUGGGCUGCCGCGUUGUUUCCGGGCUUGGCCCACUGCCCUCGGCCCGACGGAUUGCUCAAAAACGAGCCGUGAUUUCGGGCCUGAAGGAGAGGCCCGAAGUGCCAUUAAAAUUCUUAUAUUUCGUUUCCUUUCUUCGUGUAAUUAGUUGAUAGCUUAUUGUGUAUGUAAAAGACAUUCAAACUCCUUUGGUUCGAAAUAAACUCUUGUUUUCUCUUCUAUAAA